rnacentral:lncRNA from 1 species
UAGAUUAGGAUAUGGGUUUGAUUAAUAGUACGGAAUUACCGGUGGUGGUGGGGAGGCGUAGGAUACCCCGAUCACUGGCGGAAGAGGGGUGUUGUCCGGUGGGGGUUGUGGGUGUGUGGGUUUAUGGGGUGGUGAGGGUGGUUGGGUUUGAUGUGGAGGUGGUGGUGGGGAAUGAUGGUGGGUGGUGGGUGGCGGUGGAGAUUGAGGUUGUUGUGUUGGUGAUGGUGGUGGGUGGUGCCAUUGUUGUGGUGGCGGUGGAGGUGGUGGUGUUGGUAGAAUGCAUCCAGAUGAUGGUGGUGGUGGCGGAG